rnacentral:rRNA from 1 species
GAUGAAGCCCAGCUUGCUGGGUGGAUUAGUGGCGAACGGGUGAGUAACACGUGAGUAACCUGCCCUUAACUCUGGGAUAAGCCUGGGAAACUGGGUCUAAUACCGGAUAGGAGCGUCCACCGCAUGGUGGGUGUUGGAAAGAUUUAUCGGUUUUGGAUGGACUCGCGGCCUAUCAGCUUGUUGGUGAGGUAAUGGCUCACCAAGGCGACGACGGGUAGCCGGCCUGAGAGGGUGACCGGCCACACUGGGACUGAGACACGGCCCAGACUCCUACGGGAGGCAGCAGUGGGGAAUAUUGCACAAUGGGCGCAAGCCUGAUGCAGCGACGCCGCGUGAGGGAUGACGGCCUUCGGGUUGUAAACCUCUUUCAGUAGGGAAGAAGCGAAAGUGACGGUACCUGCAGAAGAAGCACCGGCUAACUACGUGCCAGCAGCCGCGGUAAUACGUAGGGUGCGAGCGUUAUCCGGAAUUAUUGGGCGUAAAGAGCUCGUAGGCGGUUUGUCGCGUCUGUCGUGAAAGUCCGGGGCUUAACCCCGGAUCUGCGGUGGGUACGGGCAGACUAGAGUGCAGUAGGGGAGACUGGAAUUCCUGGUGUAGCGGUGGAAUGCGCAGAUAUCAGGAGGAACACCGAUGGCGAAGGCAGGUCUCUGGGCUGUAACUGACGCUGAGGAGCGAAAGCAUGGGGAGCGAACAGGAUUAGAUACCCUGGUAGUCCAUGCCGUAAACGUUGGGCACUAGGUGUGGGGAUCAUUCCACGGUUUCCGCGCCGCAGCUAACGCAUUAAGUGCCCCGCCUGGGGAGUACGGCCGCAAGGCUAAAACUCAAAGGAAUUGACGGGGGCCCGCACAAGCGGCGGAGCAUGCGGAUUAAUUCGAUGCAACGCGAAGAACCUUACCAAGGCUUGACAUGUUCUCGAUCGCCGUAGAGAUACGGUUUCCCCUUUGGGGCGGGUUCACAGGUGGUGCAUGGUUGUCGUCAGCUCGUGUCGUGAGAUGUUGGGUUAAGUCCCGCAACGAGCGCAACCCUCGUUCCAUGUUGCCAGCACGUCGUGGUGGGGACUCAUGGGAGACUGCCGGGGUCAACUCGGAGGAAGGUGAGGACGACGUCAAAUCAUCAUGCCCCUUAUGUCUUGGGCUUCACGCAUGCUACAAUGGCCGGUACAAUGGGUUGCGAUACUGUGAGGUGGAGCUAAUCCCAAAAAGCCGGUCUCAGUUCGGAUUGGGGUCUGCAACUCGACCCCAUGAAGUCGGAGUCGCUAGUAAUCGCAGAUCAG